rnacentral:tRNA from 1 species
AGCGGGGUAGAGCAGUUGGUUAGCUCAUGAGCCUCAUAAACUCAUUGUCGAGGGUUCGAGUCCCUCCUCCGCUA